CAGAACGGAGACAGCAAUUCACUGCUGGGCAGCAACAUUCGAUAAUAUUCGAUAAAAUUAUUACAGCAACAAGAAGGGGGUUUCUGAGGUGAAAUGGACAUGCUAGAGGAAACCACAGCCCAAAGACUGGAAGACUGAUGUGGAGGGAGACAAACACUAAGAUUUUCACCUAUCGCUGAUGGGUCUGGAAUGUAACUUCUCCGAUAGGCGGUUGAUCACUGUAUUCUGAAAAAAGGGACACAAUGGAAAUUAUAGGGAGGAUCAAACUGCCUGGUUGUUUCAGUUUCUUAACAUUAAACCAAUGUUCAGCACAGCUGUAACACUGGAACCUACAUGGACUGAAAAUGAUUCUGGGUUACCUACAAAAGGACAAUCAGCCCACAGCUAAGAACAACAGGUAUCAUUGCCUUGGUGUGAUCGAGGGACAGGAAAGUGAAAUGAGUCACUGCCUUUGUUAAGGAAAUAGAGAAUACACUGACGUGAAAAUGAGGUACAUUCCUCCCAAAACUGAUAAUUUUUGUAUCAGUUACUCACCCUUCAUUGUUUAUAGUAAUGGCUGAGAAAAAAAUGAAUCUCAUGUAUUCAGGAGAAUGGGGAUAACAAUUUCUGAUACAAUGUGUUUCAGUGGAGACCCAGGUUGAACAAUAGCAUACAAUAUUAAAAUAUCCACAACAAAAAUCUCAUAUUAUUGUGUCACAUAAUCCAAGUUUCAGAUAUCCAAUGUUAUGCUCACAAUGUCCCAGGCACAUGCAUUUUGGCUAAAUAUUAUUAAGUAAACCAUUUCAAGAAAAUUCUUUUGUUCAUUGUAGUAAAGUGCAUUAAAAACACCAUAGAACUGAAUUGAACUGAAACAAAUUGAAGACCCUCCAAGGGGGAAUACAUUGGGCCACCCAUCUAUCAAAAGAUUAAGGAUGUAGGGUGAGAGCAUGCCAUCUUUCAUAGGGUUGAAGGUGUUUUUCGACAUGAUGCGAGACAUUGAUGACAUAUACAAGAUUGAUUGCAAGAAGUGUUUAAAGAGUUUAAACAUUAGGAUGGAAAACCCUAAAGAGAAGAUGCAUAAAGGCAGAUUCUACAGGGAGUAGCUGGGUAGAAAAGAAGUCAAAGCCAUGAUCAAACAGGAUGGAGUGUGAAAGUGCAAUGGUAGAAUGUAAUGCCAGGAGGUUACACCCCAGCACUUAAUCUGUGUCGGAAAAUGUUAGGUUUCUUAGGUGAAGAAGUCUUAAAAGAUAUGGCCUUGUAGUGUGUGGUACAGCUAAGAAAACUUUCUUAUAUAAAAGAUGUAAGCAGAAGAGAUGGCAGUACAAAAAACACCAUAGAGUAAAGAGGAACAAGCACUAUGUCAGAAGGCAAAUCGGGCUGAGGUCCACUGGGUCUGCCUACAGCGUUCUGUGAAGCAUGGUGGCAACUCUGUCAUGGUCUGGUGAGCACUUCAGUUGAUGAUGUUGGGGAUCUGGUGAAAAUCACUGGAAUGAUGACUGCUGAGACAUGUAAACAGAUUUUUGAUUCAUUGUACUGUACCUUUGGAAAAUUGGCUUACAAGCAAAAAUGUAAUUAUUUAGGAUAAUAAUGAUCCCAUCAACACUGAAAAUACACUCAACACCUACGGUACCUGGAGCAGAAGUCUGCAGAUGGAACACCAACAGUAUUAGACUGGCCAACUCAAACAGCAGACUUCAACUUAAUUGAAACUGUGGAAUAACUUAGGCAGGGGAAAAAUACAAAAUCAAACGAAGAAUGAUGGGAAAUCCUGAAAAAGCUUUGAAGAAUUUACCACAGGACUACUUCAUAAAAUUAUGCAGUGGUGUACCAAAGGAAAUUGCUUGUGUUUUGCAUUGUAAGAGAGGCCACAUAAAACAGUGACUUGUUUUCGAAAUACAAGACAUUCAUGUUACUA